rnacentral:rRNA from 1 species
AUUGAACGCUGGCGGCAUGCCUUACACAUGCAAGUCGAACGGUAACAGGUCUUCGGAUGCUGACGAGUGGCGAACGGGUGAGUAAUACAUCGGAACGUGCCCGAGAGUGGGGGAUAACGAAGCGAAAGCUUUGCUAAUACCGCAUACGAUCUCAGGAUGAAAGCAGGGGACCACAAGGCCUUGCGCUCACGGAGCGGCCGAUGGCAGAUUAGGGAGUUGGUGGGAUAAAAGCUUACCAAGCCGACGAUCUGUAGCGGGUCUGAGAGGACGACCAGCCACACUGGGACUGAGACACGGCCCAGACUCCUACGGGAGGCAGCAGUGGGGAAUUUUGGACAAUGGACGCAAGCCUGAUCCAGCCAUGCCGCGUGCAGGAUGAAGGCCUUCGGGUUGUAAACUGCUUUUGUACGGAACGAAAAGACUCUGGUUAAUACCUGGGGUCCAUGACGGUACCGUAAGAAUAAGCACCGGCUAACUACGUGCCAGCAGCCGCGGUAAAAC